CUUCACCGAGCCGAGCCACAGCGGCUCGCCCGCGCGUCCCUUCCCGUACGUGGCGAGCAGCGCCUCCGCCUC
rnacentral:antisense_RNA from 1 species